GACGAACGCUGGCGGCGUGCUUAACACAUGCAAGUCGAACGGAAAGGCCUGCUUUCCCUUGUGGAUUGCGGGUACUCGAGUGGCGAACGGGUGAGUAACACGUGAGUGAUCUGCCCCCAACUUGGGUAUAAGCCUGGGAAACUGGGUCUAAUUCCCGAUAGGACUGCAGGGUGGUGCCUGUGGUGGAAAACGAUUUUCUAGUGGUUGGGGAUGAGCUCGCGGCCUAUCAGCUUGUUGGUGGGGUAAUGGCCUACCAAGGCGGCGACGGGUAGCCGGCCUGAGAGGGUGGACGGCCACAUUGGGACUGAGAUACGGCCCAGACUCCUACGGGAGGCAGCAGUGGGGAAUAUUGCACAAUGGGCGGAGGCCUGAUGCAGCGACGCCGCGUGGGGGAUGACGGCCUUCGGGUUGUAAACUCCUUUCGACCGCGAGGAAGCCACCUGGUUGGAAGGGUGGUGACGGUAGUGGUAGAAGAAGCACCGACUAACUACGUG
rnacentral:rRNA from 1 species